rnacentral:tRNA from 1 species
GUGAAUAUAGUUUAGUGUGAUAAAAUUUCUUUUUGUUAUCUUUAUAAAGGGGAAGAUGCAGGUUCAAUUCCCUAUAUCCAAC